rnacentral:rRNA from 1 species
UACAGAGGUGGCAAGCGUUGUUCGGAAUUACUGGGGCGUAAAGGGCGCGUAGGCGGUCUUGUAAGUCUUGUGUGAAAUCCCUCGGCUUAACUGAGGAACUGCACGAGAUACUGCAAGACUUGAGAUCGGGAGAGGGAAGCGGAAUUCCGGGUGGUAGCGGUGAAAUGCGUAGAUAUCCGGAGGAACACCGGUGGCGAAGGCGGCUUCCUGGACCGACACUGACGCUGAGGCGCCGAAAGCUAGGGGAGCAAACGGG